AUUGAACGCUGGCGGCAUGCUUUACACAUGCAAGUCGAACGGUAACAGGGUGCUUGCACCGCUGACGAGUGGCGAACGGGUGAGUAAUGCGUCGGAACGUGCCGAGUAGUGGGGGAUAACGCAGCGAAAGUUGUGCUAAUACCGCAUACGUACUGAGGUAGAAAGUGGGGGACCUUCGGGCCUCACGCUAUUCGAGCGGCCGACGUCUGAUUAGCUAGUAGGUGAGGUAAAGGCUCACCUAGGCGACGAUCAGUAGCGGGUCUGAGAGGAUGAUCCGCCACACUGGGACUGAGACACGGUCCAGACUCCUACGGGAGGCAGCAGUGGGGAAUAUUGGACAAUGGGCGAAAGCCUGAUCCAGCCAUGCCGCGUGUGUGAAGAAGGUCUUCGGAUUGUAAAGCACUUUAAGUUGGGAGGAAGGGUAGUAACCUAAUACGUUGCUACUUUGACGUUACCGACAGAAUAAGCACCGGCUAACUUCGUGCCAGCCGCCGCAGUAAAAC
rnacentral:rRNA from 1 species